rnacentral:lncRNA from 1 species
GUGGAGCUCUUGCUAAUAUCCCCCCGCAAACCCGGUGUAGGUGGCUCAACUACACCGAGUUUGUACCUGAGUGAAGUAAACGCAUUGAACGGAAGCAAUUUGGUGAAGAUGUCUGCGGUCUGCUCAUGUCCAGGUAUGUGUCUCACUUCCAGCAAUCCAAGAGCCACUCUUUCUCUGACGUAGUGAUAGUGGUUCUCAAAGUGUUUGGUCCUUUUGUGGAACGCCGGAUUUACUGUUAGGUAGACUGCGGAGAGAUUGUCACAAUAGAGGGUUGGAGCUUUGAGAAGAGGAACUCGCAGCUCCUUCAUAAUUGAGCUGAGCCAGGUGAUUUCAGAGGCUGCUUCAGAUAGCGUUCUGUAUUCGGCUUCAGUUGAGCUCUUCGAUACAGAGUUCUGCUUGUGAGACGACCAAGAGAUGAUGUUGAGUCCCAAAUACGUGCAGUAACCACCAGUUGAACGUCUUGUUUCAGGACAACCAGACCAAUCACUAUCACUCUAAGCUCGUAGUGUACAAUCUGACUGCUUUCGAAAGUUUAUUCCCAUAGUCAUUGUACCUUUAACAUACCUCAAUAUUUUUUUCAGAAGUAAGAAGUCCAGAGUUGUUGGCGCAUGCAUCUUCUGACAGACAUAAUUCACUGCAAACUGAAUGUCAGGUCUAGUAAGUGUUAGAUAUUGUAACUUACCAGCAAGACUGCGAAAGUAUAUUGGAUUCUCAAAGGUAUCCUGAUUCUGUCUCCUUUGUUUGUUUAGUUGAAGAGGCAGAGGAGUUGGCAUUGGGGCACAAUCACUCAUUGAAGCAGCAAUCAGUAAGUCUUCUGCAUACUUUUGUUGUGAUAAGAAAAGUCCCUCUGAAUGAAAUUGAGCUUGAAUUCCCAAGAAAUAGUGCAUUUGACCGAAGUCUUUCAUCUUGAACCUUUUGUUUAGUUCUGCAAGCAAUAAGGCAAGUGAAUCUGAGCUGUUACAGUGAUCAACAUAUCGUCAACAUACAGGAGGAGCGGAAUGAUAUCCUUUCCUCUGCUGAAGAGAAAGAGGGACGGGUCUGGAAUACUGCAAUGAAAUCCAAACUCCAAGAGGUAUGUGCUGAACUUGUCAAACCAGGCUCUAGGUGACUGUUUUAAACCAUACAGUAACUUGUGUAGCUUACAGACAUGAUCUGGUUUGUCUGGAUCUACAAAACCUGCAGGUUGAGCCAUAUAGACUGUUUCAGUUAGAUCACCAUGGAGGAAGACAUUUUGUACAUCCAUCUGUUUGAUGUCCCACUCCAUUAUGGUUGCAAGAUGCAGAACUCCCCUCACUGUUGCUGUUCUCACCACUGGACUGUAAGUCUCGAGAUAGUCUAUGCCUUCAGCUUGAUUAAAUCCCUGAGCCACUAACCUUGCUUUCAGCUUUUGUAGUGAUCUGUCAGCAUUUAACUUGGUUCGAAAGAUCCAUUUGCUGCCUAAAACAUGCAUAUCUGGAGUGUAAGGAACCAGAGACCAUGUUUCAGCCUCUUUACAGUUCCCCAUCUCUUCUCCCAUAGCACCUGUCCAUCCAGGGUCUUUAAGAGCUGCAGCUACAGUCUUUGGUUCCGGGUAAGACACUUUGUGUGUCAGUAAAGCAUAUCUUGGAUUUGGCUUUCUGAUUCCACUCUUUUGUCUUAUGGUCAUAGGGUGUGUAGACUUGACUUCUGCAGAUUCUUGUGCAGACUCUUGGACAGGUAUCUGACUAGCUAAGAUGUCAUCUUGUCUCUCAUUUUCUGAUCUUGUUGUGGACUGUUCUGUGAUUUCUUUUGUAGCCUGACUUGAUGUUUCUAUUGAGAUACCAGGACUGUGAGAAGAAGAAGAGAAGCUGUUGCCUAUAGGAACAGGAUCGGAGCCUGCCGUACACCCAGAACUUCUUUCUCCUUCCACAGCAGGUACAACAAUGGAGAUUGGUGUCUGUAGAAUGAUUGGAGUUUUCACAGGUAGAGGAGGAAAUUCUUCUUCUGAAAAUAGACUAUCAUCUUGUUUUGGUGGAGCUUUGUUAACAUUGUUGAUUCCUUUUGUCCAAGCUAGCAUUAGUGGAGUGAGACUUCCUGUCUUAGGUCUUGAGUGAGACUGAGCAAAAGGAAAGACUGUUUCAUCAAAUAUAACAUGGCGACUGAUGUAGCCUCUUCGAGUUGAUGGUAAGUAACAUCUGUAGCCUUUGUACUUCUCGUUAUACCCUAGAAACACACACUUGAGUGAUCUAGGAUCAAACUUGUUCGAAGCAUAAUCUCUCAAUGUUGGAUAACAGGCACAACCAAAGGUUCUGAGAGCUGAGUAGUCUGGUGGCUUGCCAUGCAAUUUCUCAUAGGGACUGCACUUCAUAUCCAAAGCAGUUGUGGGAAGAAGAUUGAUUAAGAAGUUUGCAGUGUAGAAAGCUUCAACCCAAAACUUCUGAGGACAGGUACUCUGAAACAUCACUGAGAGACCAAGCUUAAUGAUAUGUCUGUGUUUCCUCUCAGCUAACCCAUUAUGUUGCGAUGUGUAGGGACAGGAGAUGAGCUGUUUGAUCCCACAUUAUUGUAGGUGAUCUGUCAGCUUUCUGUUUGUGAACUCUCCUCCUCCAUCACACUGAAAUGUACCAAUCUUUGUUUGGUAUUGAUUUUCAACCAAAGCUUGGAACACAGAAAAGGUAUGAGCAAAAUCUGAUUUGAGCUUUAAUGGGUAGAACCAGCAAAAUCUAGAGUAGUUAUCAAUGAACACUACAUAAUAACUGAAUCCUUGAUUUGAUUUAACAGGUGAAGGACCCCAGAGAUCACAGUGUAUUCUCUCUAGAGGUCUAGUAGCUACGAAAGUAGAAGCAGAAAAGGGAAGUCUAACACUUUUCCCAAGCUGGCAAGAUUCACACACCAUCUUGGUACUCUUAUUCCCGAUACUGAUAGCUUUUUUUGGAGAUAACACAUGGAGAACUUGUGAAUGAGGAUGCCCCAACCUUUGAUGCCAUAUAUCUUCACUCGCCCCUUACUGUGCUUUCCCUUUGUCAACAAUUUCCUUGUUGCCUUAUCAUAUAUUCGAACAUCAUCACAGUCAAAUUGAAAUACGCAGGGAUAGUCAUUGGUGAGCUUGGAAACUGACAACAAGGGUUUAGAAAUGUCAGGACACACAAGAACAUCAUUUAAAGGUAAGUUACCUGAAGUAGAAGGAAGACUGCCUGAUCCGGUGUGAGUUAU